GAAGCACACCAGGUCCGGCUUUGUCAAUGAAGUCUGGCAUGAACCCAGCACCAGUCUGAGGCUCUGAUUGCGGCAGAACGUCUCCAUCAGAGAGCACUAGAAGGCCAUUGUUCCAUAUGUGCUCCACCUGCGCCUCUCAGAGCCUCGCGCCAAACGCACGGCCGGCAGGCUCUACCAUCCUUGCUGAUUGGAAGUUGCCAUGGCGACGCUGGAAGCCGGUGCUGAAAACGGGGGCACUUCAGCUUUCCCAGUAGUCCUGAGUGAGGAGAUAGCGCGGCUCCGUCUGAUAAUGUUGUUUGUGGAAAUAAUAUCGCUGAAGAUUAUCGCUGGACGCAGAGAGCAGCGAGACGGAGACGUCGGUCAUGUAAUGAUGACCCAUAAAUUGAUUCCUUAUCAGCUCAUGCAAAUGGAUGGUAAGAGUGAUUCAGUUCGGUGUUUUGGUUUAUUAGGCGACUAACAAAAAACUCAAAUUUAUUUAUUUUUUUUCCUCCUCCCCCCUCUGGGAUAGCUUCCACGCUUCCCAGUGCUGUUUUGUUUCAUAAGUUAUUUUAUUUAUUUAUUUAUUUUUUUUCCAUAAAUUGUUUGGUGUGCAGAGGAAAAGGCGAGAAGCAAAGCUCACCCGUAGCUUUUAAUAACACGAUGGCCACCAUCCAGCUUCAGACGAGUGCUGGGAUUGGCUGAUCCCUUCACACCCUGGCACCUGG